AACGCUAGCUACAGGCUUAACACAUGCAAGUCGAGGGGCAGCAGGGAGAUAGCUUGCUAUCUUUGCUGGCGACCGGCGCACGGGUGAGUAACGCGUAUCCAACCUACCCCGUACUCAGGGAUAGCCCGUUGAAAGACGGAUUAAUACCUGAUGUUCUCCUUUAUCGGCAUCAUUAUUGGAGCAAAGAUUUAUCGGUACGGGCUGGGGAUGCGUCUGAUUAGCUUGCCGGCAGGGUAACGGCCUACCGGGGCAACGAUCAGUAGGGGUUCUGAGAGGAAGGUCCCCCACAUUGGAACUGAGACACGGUCCAGACUCCUACGGGAGGCAGCAGUGAGGAAUAUUGGUCAAUGGGCGGAAGCCUGAACCAGCCAAGUAGCGUGAAGGAUUACUGCCCUACGGGUUUUAAACUUCUUUUAUGCGAGAGUAAUGUGCGCCACGUGUGGUGUAUUGCAAGUAUCGCAUGAAUAAGCAUCGGCUAACUCCGUGCCAGCAGCCGCGGUAAUACGGAGGAUGCGAGCGUUAUCCGGAUUUAUUGGGUUUAAAGGGAGCGUAGGCGGGAUAUUAAGUCAGUCGUCAAAGCCUGUGGCUCAACCACAGCCCGCGAUUGAUACUGGUAACCUUGAGUGCGGAUGAGGUGGAUGGAAUUCGUGGUGUAGCGGUGAAAUGCUUAGAUAUCACGAAGAACUCCGAUUGCGAAGGCAGUCCACUGGGCCGCAACUGACGCUGAAGCUCGAAAGUGCGGGUAUCAAACAGGAUUAGAUACCCUGGUAGUCCGCACAGUAAACGAUGGACACUCGCUGUUGGCGAUAUACGGUCAGCGGCCAAGCGAAAGCAUUAAGUGUCCCACCUGGGGAGUACGCCGGCAACGGUGAAACUCAAAGGAAUUGACGGGGGCCCGCACAAGCGGAGGAACAUGUGGUUUAAUUCGAUGAUACGCGAGGAACCUUACCCGGGCUUGAACUGCGGACGGCGGAAGUGGAAACAUUUCUUCUCUUCGGAGCGUCCGUGGAGGUGCUGCAUGGUUGUCGUCAGCUCGUGCCGUGAGGUGUCGGCUUAAGUGC
rnacentral:rRNA from 1 species